AUACAUAGGGGGCAAGCGUUAUCCGGAAUUAUUGGGCGUAAAGGGUGCGUAGGCGGUCUAUUAAGUCUGAGGUGUAAGUGCAGGGCUCAACCCUGUGAUGCUUUAGAAACUGGUAGACUUGAGUGAGAUAGAGGCAAGUGGAAUUCCAUGUGUAGCGGUAAAAUGCGUAAAUAUAUGGAGGAACACCAGUGGCGAAGGCGGCUUGCUGGGUCUAUACUGACGCUGAGGCACGAAAGCGUGGGGAGCAAACAGGAUUAGAUACCCUGGUAGUCCACGCCGUAAACGAUGAGUACUAAGUGUUGCGAGAACGCAGUGCUGAAGUUAACAUAUUAAGUACUCCGCCUGAGUAGUACGUACGCAAGUAUGAAACUCAAAGGAAUUGACGGG
rnacentral:rRNA from 1 species